rnacentral:rRNA from 1 species
CGUGAGGAACCUGCCUUUCAGAGGGGGACAACAGUUGGAAACGACUGCUAAUACCGCAUAAUAUAUGUUUGUCGCAUGGCAGAUAUAUCAAAGAUUUAUCGCUGAGAGAUGGCCUCGCGUCUGAUUAGCUAGUUGGUAGGGUAACGGCCUACCAAGGCGACGAUCAGUAGCCGGACUGAGAGGUUGGCCGGCCACAUUGGGACUGAGAUACGGCCCAGACUCCUACGGAAGGCAGCAG